CCUACGGGGGGCAGCAGUGAGGAAUAUUGGUCAAUGGGCGCGAGCCUGAACCCGCCAAGUAGCGUGAGGGAAGACGGUCCUAUGGAUUGUAAACCUCUUUUGUACGAGGGUAAACCCCGAUACGUGUAUCGGGUUGAAAGUAUCGUACGAAUAAGGAUCGGCUAACUCCGUGCCAGAAGCCGCGGUAAUACGGAGUAUCCGAGCGUGAUCCGGAUUUAUUGGGUUUAAAGGGUGCGUAGGCGGUUUGAUAAGUUAGAGGUGAAAUGUCGGGGCUCAACCCCGAAACUGCCUCUAAUACUGUUGGACUAGAGAAUAGUUGCGGUAGGCGGAAUGUAUGGUGUAGCGGUGAAAUGCUUAGAGAUCAUACAGAACACCGAUUGCGAAGGCAGCUUACCAAACUAUAUCUGACGUUGAGGCACGAAAGCGUGGGUAGCAAACAGGAUUAGAUACCCCAGUAGUC
rnacentral:rRNA from 1 species